rnacentral:rRNA from 1 species
ACAAACGCUGGCGGCGUGCUUAACACAUGCAAGUCGAACGGAAAGGCCCCUUUGGGGGUACUCGAGUGGCGAACGGGUGAGUAACACGUGAGUAACCUGCCCUUGACUUCGGGAUAACUUCAGGAAACUGGGGCUAAUACCGGAUAGGAAUCCUUGCUGCAUGGUGGGGGUUGGAAAGCUUCGGCGGUUUUGGAUGGACUCGCGGCUUAUCAGCUUGUUGGUGGGGUAGUGGCUUACCAAGGCUUUGACGGGUAGCCGGCCUGAGAGGGCGACCGGCCACAUUGGGACUGAGAUACGGCCCAGACUCCUACGGGAGGCAGCAGGGGGGAAGAUUGCACAAUGGGCGGAAGCCUGAUGCAGCAACGCCGCGUGCGGGAUGACGGCCUUCGGGUUGUAAACCGCUUUCAGCAGGGGCGAAGCUUGUGGUGACGGUACCUGCAGAAGAAGCACCGGCUAACUACGUG